UAUCAACUUAUUAUCAUCUUUUAUUACUUUUGGAUUGUAUACUUCUUUAUCUGUGGAUUAUUAUUUAAAUCACAAUACAAGCAUGCCUAAUGUUUGCAUGUUGUUUAGAUCCUGCUGCACAUUAUGAAGCCUUUUUGAGAUAUCCUCGAUCUACCCAGUCUACCACUUGUAAGUUUGUAUAGUAUAACUUGAAUAUCAAAUAUUAGCAUGUAUAUCUUGGUUUAAUUUAUAUUAUUUUUGAUCUUUACUUUAUUAGUUGCUACGGUUAGUUAUUUUAAAAGCUAGUACUUAAUUUAAUGUGAGUUAAUUAAUGUGAAAUAUCUUUUGCAUACUUAAUUACUAAUCUUUUUUUUUUUUUAGUUUAUUUACUGUUUGUUUGAGUUAAGUAAUAUUAUUUGAUUUUAAACUAGUUUAACUAUUUGAUUUUAAACCAGUUUAACUUAUGUUUACAGUUUCUAAAUAUUAUAUUUACGUAACCAUUACUUGUUUGUAGAAGGAUUUAAAGAUCCAAUAAAAAGUGGAGUUAUGUUUCCGGAUGCAGUGAAAAAGGAUUUAGCUGUAAACUUUACUUUGCAUGGCGAAACACCUACACGCUGUCAAAAUGGACAUUUCUUUUAUUCAUUAAUAACGGGUGGAUACUCCAUCUUACAUCUUAUAAUGUGGUUGGAGAACACUGGGGGAGAGGCAGAGGGUGUUCCAGCCACACAUCCCAGCCAUGAAGUCAAUUAAUACAACACUUGAUUUUAAUUUCAAUUAAUACAACAUGCUGUAAAUAUUUAUGAGAAUGGAACAAUUCACUACAAGGGUGUUAAAACGUAACAAAGACAUCGACUCUUUAAUCUAAAAUAGACCACUAAUAUUUGGAAAUGGAAUGAAAGCAAAUUAGAACAAUUUUUUGUGUAUAAAGAUAAUAUAUUUUAUCAGAAAAACACUUUUUCGUGUGAAAAAUUUGUAUUUUUUUAAGGGUAUGAGGGUGUUCCGUACCCCCUCCGGCCCUCUAGACACCCCUUUUAUCUAUAGAGUUAUAUGAACUUGUAGCCUACUCUUACAUCUAUCUUUUGAUACCAAGGUAUAGACAUUUGGAUAAGAUUUGACAAAGUUAUAACAAUUUUAGUG
rnacentral:lncRNA from 1 species